rnacentral:rRNA from 1 species
UACGUAGGGUGCGAGCGUUGUCCGGAAUUAUUGGGCGUAAAGAGCUCGUAGGUGGCGGGUCACGUCGGGUGUGAAAGCCCGGGGCUUAACUCCGGGUCUGCAUUCGAUACGGGUCUGCUGGGGUCCGGCAGGGGAGACUGGAAUUCCUGGUGUAGCGGUGAAAUGCGCAGAUAUCAGGAGGAACACCGGUGGCGAAGGCGGGGCUCUGGGCCGGUACCGACGCUGAGGAGCGAAAGCGUGGGGAGCGAACAGG